UUUCUGUCAUCUUCAGUCAGUUUAACAGCACUGACCUGUCAUUUGAAGAGAGGAACACUGAGUUUCACUCUGCAGCUCUCUCUCUGCUUAGUCUGAACAUACCAGAGCUGCUCAAACGUCACUCAGCAGCUCAUCUGUUCUCCUGCUACGACCAUUCUGAAAAUCUGAGUCGCUCAGAGCACCGGCAGCACAAACUGUAGCAGAAACGUACAGAGAGCCGGCUGCAACCAACACCUCCAGGGUCAAAGACAGAUUUCAUAUCACCCAGAACAGAAACACAAUAAACUCACUUUAAAGCUCAUAUUGUGGAGAGAAAAAAAAAGAACAAGAUGUGACAAAGUUGACUGACACACCCCAGUGUCAGGUCUCUUAUCAGGAAAACAGGGGCACAGUGGAAAGACCACUGCUGUCAGUGAUAGGGACAGUCUGUCAUAAGAGCUGCUUCCUCUUAUCGGCACGGGAGGCGAGUCCUCACAAGCAAAACAGGAGCUCUGAGCCGGUGUUAACUCACCAGAGGCAGCAGAAGAAGGAGCUCUGAAGUCCUGGAGGACCUGCUGCUUCCAUUUAACACGAGGAACCUCUGGACCCUCCGGGCGGCAAACACUGCGGAGCAGAACACUGAUGAUGGGUUUAGAGACGGAGGAUUUGCCAAAACGGGAAGUGGCUACUGCCCUUCCAACUGUAGACGAACAAGCCUGGGAUUAUCCCCGGCGUCGCGUCGCCAAACACGGAAGUGCAGCGAACCAUCAUCCAAGGCUCUCCAUGUCACUCAGGAGUUCGGUCCGUCCCACACGCUUCAGUAAAAGGUUAGUGGCUUUCCUUUUCUCACGUUUUGUCCCACUGUCAAGUCCAGCCACUAACCUUAUUCUCCUGUGUUCAGAACUCCUGAUUCCCGUGUCCUGUACUUCCAGAUCCAGCAUUCACCAUUUAAAUAAAAUUGUUAAAACUGCUUCGGUGUUUGGCUCUGUGAAACUCAAU